rnacentral:rRNA from 1 species
GGGCUUGACAUCCCACGAACCUGUCGAAUGGCAGGAGUGCCUGCAAGGGAGCGCGGAGACAGGUGGUGCAUGGCUGUCGUCAGCUCGUGUCGUGUGAUGUUGGGUUAAGUCCCGCAACGAGCGCAACCCUCACCUCUUGUUGCCAUCAGGUCAUGCUGGGCACUCUAGAGGAACUGCCCCGGUCAACGGGGAGGAAGGCGGGGAUGACGUCAAGUCAUCAUGCCCCUUACGUCCUGGGCAACACACGUGGUACAAUGGCCGGUACAAAGGGAUGCCACACCGCGAGGUAGAGCUAAACCCAAAAAGCCGGUCUAAGUUCGGAUUGGAGUCUGCAACUCGACUCCAUGAAGGAGGAAUCGCUAGUAAUCGCGUAUCAGCACGACGCGGUGAAUACGUUCCCGGGCCUUGUACACACCGCCCGUCACACCACGAAAGCCAGCUGUACUCGAAGUCGCUGAG